CUUCCCUUCCCAAACAGGUAGCAAACCUGCAGCUUUCUCAGCCAGGGCCACGUCAGCUUCUGUUCCUCAGCAGCCCUGAUGAAGCACUGAAGGAGAUAAAACAGGAGACAUGUCAGAGUGUUUACAGCAUGACUACUAUUGUGAGAUAACCCAAGAACAAAACACAGGACACAGAGGCUUUGUCUUUUAACAGUGGUUUAUAUACAAGACUAGUAUAUACAUCAAUACAUGUGGCAGGCAAAUACCAGGCAAUCAAUCACUCUACACUGAGAACUACAGUGGAGAUAGAACAUGAGGAGAGAGAGAGAGAGAGACACCCUCACAUGUCCUCCCUUCUAUAGACAGCUUCUUAAAGUGGCAGUACCCUGCUGACUCAUGCUCAGUUCAUCAUCUUGGCUUACAAUCUUACAGCAGCUGGUCAGCUAUUAAAUCUUCAUUACAUUAACAAGACAUCUAGAAUGUUGCUGAGGCUGUGUGGGACAAACUCAGCUAAACACUGAAUACAGCCACUCUUAAGAACUACCUCAUGGCAAUGCGGGAAGUGAAGUCACAGUACUUCUCCACCCUUACUGCAUCUGUAGAUAGUUAUUUUACUGCCUUAUUUUGAACAAUCUGUGCCCUCUUAGUAGAGGUGUCUCAGAGACCCCACUAGAGACUCAUGCAGAAGAAUUUGCAAUGCAUUUGCUAGUCAAAAUGGCUACAAUUCAUUCACAGUUGGUGCUGGUCAUGGUUUAGUUCCCAGGGUAGAGUUUUACCCUGUUAUGUGGGAAUGGACCUAUUGGGCUUAAGAAAGCGGACAGGGUACUCUUUAGAUCAAGCCCCUCCUGGCUAAUUAAAGUUAUAUGGGAAGCAGGAAAUGUCAUGUGAGUUGAUUCUAGCAGUGGUGAAUUCUUCCUUGGGUGAGGAGGUCUUUCCUUUGCCUCUCAAAGAAGUGUUGGUUUGCACUUUCCUCAAGAAAACAUCACUGGGCCCACCAGACUGGACAACGUAUCUGUAUAUGUGUGAGAGAGGGGGGCGGGGUCUUAUGACUGUCCACAUUGUUUGUAAUGUAAUGUUCUUAGUUUUUUUUAUAGUAAUAUUUCUGUAUUUCCUGAAUGUUUCUAAUAUUGUUUUUUUUUUUUGGUUUGUUUGCAUGCAUUGAGUCAUAGCACCAGAAAUGGGUGGCCAUACACAUAUGAUACAUACAUACAUACAUAAAUUGUCUUCUGCACAUUUUUAGUUUAUAGGGAAGAGAAUCCCUUGAAAAAUCUCUCAGAACAGGAACUGGGGCCUCUUAUCAGCAUUCUAUGUUGCAGCAUGUGGAAACAUGUGAGAACCAGCUGAACAAAGCCAUUGAUCCAUAUUAUCAGUAAAGGAAGUGCACCCAUAAUUACUGUAAAUCAUGCAG